GACCGCUAGGUGGCCUAGUGGGUAGAGCGUCCGUCUUGCAUGUGGGAGGUCCUGGGUUUAAUCCCCGGUCGAGUCA